AGAGUUUGAUCCUGGCUCAGGGUUAACGCUAGCGGUGCGCCUAACACAUGCAAGUCGAGCGGUAGUAGAGAAAAGCUUGCUUUUUUCUAUGAGAGCGGCGAACGGGGGAUUAACAUGUUGGUAUCUGCCUCUAAGUCAGGGAUAGCCCACUGAAAAGUGGAUUAAUACCGGAUAGUCUCUUCGGAGUAAAGAUUUAUCGCUUAGAGAGGAACCUGCAUUCUAUCAGCUUGUUGGUAAGGUAAAAGCUUACCAAGGCUAUGACGGAUAACUGGUCUGAGAGGAUGAUCAGUCACAAUGGAACUGAGACACGGUCCAUACUCCUACGGGAGGCAGCAGUGAGGAAUCUUCCACAAUGGGCGAAAGCCUGAUGGAGCGACACCGCGUGAAGGAUGAUGGUCUAACGAUUGUAAACUUCUUUUCUGAAGGAGCAUAAUGAGAGUACUUCAGGAAUAAGGGACGGCUAAUUACGUGCCAGCAGCCGCGGUAAUACGUAAGUCCCAAGCAUUACCCGGAAUCACUGGGUGUAAAGCGUCUGUAGGCUGAUAAGUAAGUCAGAUAUGAAAGACCGGAGCUCAACUCCGAGUUUGUAUUUGAAACUAAUUUCCUAGAAUCAGGGAGAGGUAAGCGGAAUUCUAGGUGUAGGGGUGCAAUCCGUAGAUACCUAGAGGAACACCAAAAGCGAAUGCAUCUUGCUGGAACUCGAUUGACUCUCUGGAACGAAAGCGUGGGUAGCGAAAAGGAUUAGAUACCCUUGUAGUCCACGCCCUAAACGAUGAUAACUAAGUGUUGCAAUUUAUUGCAGUGCUGUAGCUAACGCGUUAAGUUAUCCACCUGAGGAGUACGGUCGCAAGAUUAAAACUCAAAGGAAUAGACGGGGACCCACACAAGCAGUGGAUCACGUGGUUUAAUUCGAUAGUAAACGAGGAACCUUACCCAGACUUGACAUCUACAGAAUCUUUUAGAGAUAAAAGAGUGCCUUUAUUGGAACGGUAAGACAGGUGCUGCAUGGUUGUCGUCAGCUCGUGCCUUGAGGUGUUCGGUUAAGUCCGUUAACGAGCGCAACCCAUGUGUUUAGUUAUUAUGUCUAAGGAGACUGCCUUGGUUAACAAGGAGGAAGGUGUGGAUGACGUCAAAUCAGCAUGGCUUUUACGUCUGGGGCUACACACAUGAUACAAUGGUAUGUACAAAGAGCAGCGAUAUAGUGAUAUGGAGCUAAUCUUAAAAGCAUAUCUCAGUCCGGAUUGAAGUCUGAAACUCGACUUCAUGAAGUUGGAAUUGCUAGUAAUCGUGAAUCAGAUAUGUCACGGUGAAUGUGUUCCUGGGUCUUGUACUCACCGCCCGUC
rnacentral:rRNA from 1 species